CACUAAACCGCAACAAUCCAAACAGCCUGUUAGUAUCAACUAUGGAGAGAGAUCCAUGUGAUGGAAAGGAAGCAUCUCCUGCAGAGACUUCUUGGUCUCCUGAGAUUCCAAACCACUGGAUUGAGGCUCAAGAUUCACUGAAGAGAAGUCUAGUCACAGAAGAUGAUUUCACAUGGAAAUUACCCAGAGACACAAAUACAGCCACAGCCAGUGCAUUAGGAGGAGGAGAAGUCUGUAGAGUGUUGAAGUAUGUGGGUGGGGUGGAUAUUAGCUUCUCAAAAGUUGAUCCAUCCAUUGCUUGUGGUACACUUGUUGUUUUGGAUCUCCUCACUCUCGAAGUUGUCUAUGACGAUUUCUCUGUUGUCAGGCUCCAUAUCCCUUAUGUUCCUGGGUUUCUUGCCUUCAGAGAGGCUCCAAUCCUUUUAGAGCUUUUGGAGAAAAUGAAGAAUUGUGCUCAUCCUUUCUAUCCCCAGUUGUUGAUGGUUGAUGGCAAUGGAUUACUUCAUCCUCGAGGCUUUGGUUUGGCUUGUCAUCUAGGUGUUCUGGCUAAUCUUCCUACUAUUGGGAUAGGAAAGAAUUUGCAUCAUGUGGAUGGUCUUUCCCAAUCUAGAGUGAGACAACUCCUUGAAGCGAAAGGAAACUUACCUGAAGAUAUCAUCACUUUAAGUGGUGACUCUGGGAGUAUAUGGGGAGCGGCAAUGCGAUCGACUCAGGGGUCAUUUAAGCCCAUAUUCAUUUCAGUUGGUCACCGUGUAUCUCUUGCAACUGCUGUCGAAAUUGCUAAAAUGACUUGCAAAUACCGUGUGCCAGAGCCUAUCAGACAGGUCGAUGAUACCAGAUAUGGAAUAUAACAAUUGAAAGUUGCUGAAAACAAUGUUCUGCCUCCAUGUUUAAUGAGAAUGCUGAUGUAAGAUCCAGAGACUACCUCCGGAAGCAUCAAUUGGUCCAGUAAUUCAAAUGUGUAAGCAAAGCACAUUUUGCACUUCAAUGGGUCCAGUAAUUCAAAUGUGUAAGAUUUUGCACUACCUGGAAGUUGUUUUGUUUUUAGUUUUUGGUUUUAUUUAUUUAUUUAUUAUUUAGUCACUAGAUAGAAGUGUGACCAAGAAUCUUAAAACAUCACUUGCUGGUUACACAACAUGUAGAAUAAAAUGAAUACCCAUUUCCAUUUUCUGGAAGUAGAAAUGCAAAGGUAAUGAUGGAACUAGAUAGCCUCUA